rnacentral:rRNA from 1 species
UGGGGAAUUUUGGACAAUGGGCGAAAGCCUGAUCCAGCAAUGCCGCGUGUGUGAAGAAGGCCUUCGGGUUGUAAAGCACUUUUGUCCGGAAAGAAAUCCUUGGCUCUAAUACAGUCGGGGGAUGACGGUACCGGAAGAAUAAGCACCGGCUAACUACGUGCCAGCAGCCGCGGUAAUACGUAGGGUGCAAGCGUUAAUCGGAAUUACUGGGCGUAAAGCGUGCGCAGGCGGUUUGCUAAGACCGAUGUGAAAUCCCCGGGCUCAACCUGGGAACUGCAUUGGUGACUGGCAGGCUAGAGUAUGGCAGAGGGGGGUAGAAUUCCACGUGUAGCAGUGAAAUGCGUAGAGAUGUGGAGGAAUACCGAUGGCGAAGGCAGCCCCCUGGGGCCAAAUACUGACGCUCAUGCACGAAAGCGUGGGGAGCAAACAGGAUUAGAUACCCUGGUAGUCCACGCCCUAAACGAUGUCAACUAGUUGUUGGGGAUUCAUUUCCUUAGUAACGUAGCUAACGCGUGAAGUUGACCGCCUGGGGAGUACGGUCGCAAGAUUAAAACUCAAAUGAAUUGACGGGGUCAUAGCUG